GAUUAGCUCAGCUGGUUUAGAGCAUUCCGAUUCUAUCGGAAGUGGUCGGGGGUUCGAACCCCUCAUCGCCCA
rnacentral:tRNA from 1 species